rnacentral:rRNA from 1 species
AUUGAACGCUGGCGGCAGGCCUAACACAUGCAAGUCGAGCGGAGCGGCGGACGGGUGGGUGAUGCCUAGGAAGCUACCUGGUAGUGGGGGAUAACGUCCGGAAACGGGAGAUAAUACCGCAUGCGAUCAGAGGACCCUCGGUGGGAUUAGCUAGUUGGUGGGGUAAAGGCUUACCAAGGCGACGAUCCGUAACUGGUCUGAGAGGAUGAUCGGCCACACUGGAACUGAGACACGGCCCAGACUCCUACGGGAGGCAGCAGUGGGGAAUAUUGGACAAUGGGCGAAAGCCUGAUCCAGCCAUGCCGCGUGUGUGAAGAAGGUCUUCGGAUUGUAAAGCACUUUAAGUUGGGAGGCGUUACCAAAAGAAUAAGCCCCGGCUAACUUCGUGCCAGCAGCCGCGGUAAUUC